rnacentral:rRNA from 1 species
AGAGCGAACGCUGGCGGCAGGCCUAACACAUGCAAGUCGAGCGCCCCGCAAGGGGAGCGGCAGACGGGAGAGUAACACGUGGGAACGUACCCUUCAGUUCGGAACAACCCAGGGAAACUUGGGCUAAUACCGGAUACGUCCGUAAGGAGAAAGAUUUAUCGCUGAAGGAUCGGCCCGCGUCUGAUUAGCUUGUUGGUGAGGUAACGGCUCACCAAGGCUACGAUCAGUAGCUGGUCUGAGAGGAUGAUCAGCCUCACUGGGACUGAGACACGGCCCAGACUCCUACGGGAGGCAGCAGUGGGGAAUAUUGGACAAUGGGCGCAAGCCUGAUCCAGCCAUGCCGCGUGGGUGAUGAAGGCCCUAGGGUUGUAAAGCCCUUUCGGCGGGAAGAUAAUGACGGUACCCGCAGAAGAAGUCCCGGCUAACUUCGUGCCAGCAGCCGC